UACAAGUACCGUGAGGAAAGUUGCAAAGCACUUUGAAGAGAGAGUUAAAGAGGACGUGAAACCGGUGAGGUGGAAACGGAUAGAGCCGGCGUAUCUGGCAUGUAUUCAAACAUCAUAAUUUUGCGCUCAAUUGUUGGCACUCCAGAUUGGGACGAUGAUUGUUUGUCAAAAAUAUGCAUGUUGCAUUUGCAUGUGGAGUGCGCAGAGGCAUUUGGUGCGGCGAUACGAGUUCGGCUUCGAGGCCAGCUUGCUGGUACCCAAGUCGUUUGAGUACCGUUCGAGCCAAGUGUAUUCGUAUGGUUUCGGACUCGAUUGGACAUCGCGCUUUUUGUCUGCGGCGGUCGCAUGCGACACGUGCAGUCUACUAGCGUGGUCCCAGUUGAGUUCCCAUGCGAGUUCUCUGCGUAAAAGCUGGUCAUCUAUCCGACCCGUCUUGAAACACGGACCAAGGAGUUUAUCGUGUGCGCGAGCCAUUGGGCGUUCAAAACCCAGAGGCGCAAUGAAAGUGAACGUUCUCGUAAGAGACUGAUGUGCGACCCGUUGUGCCUCGGCUCAGCGGUGCAGCAUGGCCCCAUCCCAAUUGCUUGCAAUGGGGUGGCGGAAGAGCGUGCGCGGUGAGACCCGAAAGAUGGUGAACUAUUCCUGAGCAGGAUGAAGCCAGAGGAAACUCUGGUGGAAGUCCGAAGCGAUUCUGACGUGCAAAUCGAUCGUCUGACUUGGGUAUAGGGGCGAAAGACUAAUCGAACCAUCUAGUAGCUGGUUCCUUCCGA
rnacentral:rRNA from 1 species